GCCGCUCGCUCGCAUGAGCUCCCUCCUCUGCUGCUCGCGUUGCACGAGCUCUCUCUGCCGCCUAUCAGCUUAUGUCUCUCUUUGUCGCACGCCAUCCAUCCUCGCUGUUCACAGCCUCAUCGAGUCAUCGUGUCACCAGAUCUGAAACCUACAUCUUGCUCUAGGUGCUGUAAAUUCAGAGGUUCUUCUUGAAAGGUUUAUUAAGGAACGAAAAGAAAAGGAUCCAGAUGUUGAGAUUGCAGUUGC